GACGAACGCUGGCGGCAUGCCUAACACAUGCAAGUCGAACGAGAUCUUCGGGUCUAGUGGCGCACGGGUGCGUAACGCGUGGGAAUCUGCCCUUUGGUUCGGAAUAACAGUUGGAAACGACUGCUAAUACCGGAUGAUGACGAAAGUCCAAAGAUUUAUCGCCAGAGGAUGAGCCCGCGUAGGAUUAGCUAGUUGGUGUGGUAAAGGCGCACCAAGGCGACGAUCCUUAGCUGGUCUGAGAGGAUGAUCAGCCACACUGGGACUGAGACACGGCCCAGACUCCUACGGGAGGCAGCAGUGGGGAAUAUUGGACAAUGGGCGAAAGCCUGAUCCAGCAAUGCCGCGUGAGUGAUGAAGGCCUUAGGGUUGUAAAGCUCUUUUACCCGGGAUGAUAAUGACAGUACCGGGAGAAUAAGCUCCGGCUAACUCCGUGCCAGCCGCCGCGGUAACAC
rnacentral:rRNA from 1 species